rnacentral:lncRNA from 1 species
AUUUCAGAAUCAGAAAAUAGAAAUUAUCUAUUGUCUAUUAUCAAAAAUAAAAAGGGAUGUUUCAUAGUGAUAAAGGGGUUAGUUCAUCCAAUAAGACAAGACAGUCCAAAGUAUAUAUGGAUUUAAUAACAGAGAUUCAAAAUACAUGAAGCAAUAUCUGAUGGAACUGAAAGGAGAAAGAGGCAAAUACACAAAAAUAGUUGGAAAUUUCAACCUCAACUCUUAGUAACUGAUUAAAGAAGUAGAAAUAACCAUAAAGCCACAGAAUACUAUCAACCAGUAUGACAUGACUGAUAUUUAUAGAAUGCCCUACUCAGUAAAAGAAUAAUAUACAUUUUCUUCAAGUCUACGUGAAGGUUUUGUCAAAAUGAACAAUAUACCGGGCUAUAAAAUUAGUUACAAUAUAUUUAAAAUAAUUGAAGUCAUGCAGAAUAUGUUAUUCAGCCACAGCAGAAAUAAUAAUAUAAAUAUUCUUGGAAAAAUACCCAAAUAGUUUGAAACAAACACAUUUCUACAUAAUCCAUGGCCAAAAAGAAAUUUAAAAAAUAAAAUUACAAUUUGUGAGAUGUAGCUAACACAGUUACUAGAGAAAAUUUCAUUUCAUUUAAUGAUCUUAUUAAGAAAACAAAUAUUUUAAUGAUCUUUUCUCCUCUUACAAACCCAUAAAAAAGAACAAAUUAAACCUAAAGUAAGCAGAAAGGAGGAAAUAUAAAGAUAAAACCACGAAUUAAUGAUACAGAAAACAGGAAAACGAUACAGAAAACCCAAUGAAAUCAAGAACAGAUUCACUAAAAAAAUCAAGCUUCUUGCUAGCCUAUAAGGUGAAAGGUGAGAAAAUAUGAAUUACCAAUCUCAGAAAUGCAAAAAGGGACAUCACUAUAGAUUCUACAGACAUUAGAAAGAUGACCAUGGAAUAUUGUGAACAAUUUUAUGCCAAUACAUUUGAAUAAUUAAAUGAAGCACAUUCAAGAAUAAAAAUACUGAAAAGCUCUAUAUUUAUUUUAAAAUUUAAGUCUAUAAUUUAAAACUUGUUUUCAACCUUCAGACCCAAAUAACUUCUCUGGCAUAUUCUAUCAAAUAUUUAAGAAAUAAAAUACCAAUCCUACACAAAUGCUUUUAUAUAAAGUAGAAGAGAAGGCUUGCCUUCUAACUUAUUUUAUGAAUCCAGCAUUAUCCUGAUACCAAAACCAAAAUUAUUACUACAAAGCUAUCAAUGUCCCUAAUGAACAUACAUGCAAAAAUCCUCAACAAAGUAUUAAGUUAAAUACAGCAAUAUAUAAAAAAGAAUAAAUACUAUGGCAAAGCAGGGUUUAUCCCAGAGAUGCAAUCUUAAUUUAACCUUUGAAAAUCAAGUAAUGUGAUUCACAUUAAAAGACAAAAAGACAAACCUAUGUGAUAAUCUCAAUAGAUGGAAACCAAGACUGGAGAAAAAUCAGAACUCAUUCAUGAUGGAAGCACUUGGGAGACUGGAAUAGAAUGAACUUCCUUAAACUGAUGCAUGGAAACACUAAGGAUCCAAUGUCUAACAUCAUGCUCAUCAGUGAACACUGUAUGCUUAUCUUAAAAUUGGAAAGAGGCACUAUUAUCUUCUCUCUCUGUUUUUUUCAACUUUAUACUAGAAGUCUUUAAAGGAAAUGAAGUAGGAAAAAGGAAGAAAUAAAUUUAAAAGGAGGACGUAAAAUGAUCUUUAUUUACAGUGAACAUAAUUUUGUAUGUAGAAAAUCUUAAAGAAUCUACAAAGAAGAAUAAAAAUAAUCAGAGUUGACCAAAAUUACACAAUGCAAGGACAAUACACCAAAAAUCAGUGGUAUUUCUAUAGUCCAGCAAUGAAUAAUUGGAUAUUUGGAUAAAAGACUAUCAUUUAAAAUAGUGUUAAACAACAUAAAAUACUAAGAAUACAUUUACUAAAGUUUUUGAAACAUUUCUAUGCUAAAAACUAUAUGCAUAUGGAUCAGAAGACUGAAUAUUGUUAAGAUAUCAGUUGUCUUCAAAUUAUUCUAUGGAUUCAAUAGAAUAUCAAGCUGAUUCUUAAGUUUGUAUGAAAACUCAAAGCUCUUAGAAUAGCCAAGACAAUUUUGAAAUGGAAGAAAACUUGGAUGGGUAUAAAAUACCUAAUUUUAAGAAUCACCAAAAGCUACAGUAAGCAAGAGAGCAUAAUAUUGGAAUAAAAGAAAACACAGAAAUAGACUCAUACGCAGAUGAUCAACUGGUUUUUGUCAAAGUUUUUGUCAAUUCAGUGAGAAAAAUGAGUCUUUUUAGAAUAGUGUUGGAAUAAUUGGUCAUUUGAAAAACAAUGAACUCUGACCCUUAUGGCACAUCAUCCAUUAAAAAGCAACUCACUUUAUAAGUAACUUAUAAAAAUAUAAUGAAUUAUAUACUUAAGUGUAGAGUUAAAAUUGUACAACUCUGGAAGAAACCUUAGGAGAAAAAUUCUGUGACCUUGGUUAGGCAAAGAGAGUUCUUAGGACACAAAAAGCACAAACCAAAAGUUCUGAUGAGUUAAACUUGGUUAAAAUUAAAAAAAUUUUGUUCUUAAAAAGACAGUAUCAAGGAAAUUAAAAAGGUCACAGACCAGAUAAAAAUAUUUGUAAAACAUGUAUCUCUAAAGAACUUGUAUCCUGAAUAUAAAAAGAACUCUUACAACUAAAUAAUAAUAAGAAAAAUGGCCUGGUUUUUUCAAAGAAGUGCGGAAGAGUUAAACAAACUUCGCCAAACAAAACAUGAAUGACAAGUACAUGAAAAGAUGUUCAACAUUUAUUUGAUCAUUAGGAAAAUGCAAAUUAAAGCCACAGUGAGAUAGUUAUUAUACAACUACUGGAAUGACCAAAAAAAAAAAAAAAAGGCUGACCAUACUAAGUACUGAUAAUGAUGUGAAGUAACUAGCACUUUCAUACAUUGCCAAUGAGAAUGCAAAAAUUUGAUACUGACACUUUGGAAAACAGGUUUACAUAAAGUUACUUUAUGAUCCAGCAAUCCCACUCUUACAUGUAUACCCAAGAGGAAUAAAGACAUACAUAUAUCAAUCAGCACAAUGACUUACACAUGGUUUUCUUGAUAGUUUUAUUCAUAGUAGCCCUACACUAGAAAAAAAUCACAAUAAAUAGCUAAACUAUGGAACUACCUAGGUACCCUUCAAUAGAUGAAUAGAUAAAGAAAAUGGGAUUGCUAAUUCACAAUAAGGGCAGGGGUGGGCGCUAGGGAAGAAUGGAGUUACUUUAGAUAGAGUGGGGUGAAGGGAGACGAUAUGGGGAUAAGAAGGAUAGUAGAAUGAAACAGACAUUAUUACUUUAUGUAUAUAUGUGACUGCAUGACCAAUGUGAUUCUACAACAUGAACAAUCAGAAAAAUGAGAAAUUAUGCUCCAUUUAUGUAUGACAUAUCAAAGUGCCUAAAUGCAUUCUACAGUCAUGUAUAACUAAUUAGAACAAAUAAAAAAAUUAUAAAAUAAAAAUGUUCAUCAAUUAGUAAAUGAAUAAACCCAUAGUGCAAAUAUAUAUAUAUCUUUCAUUUAUUAGACUACAACUCAUUCAUUGAAAUACUACUGAUGCACACAACAAGGAUAAAUUUAGAACUAUUAUGCUAAGAAAAAGCAGAUACAAAAGACUACACGGUAUAUGAUUCUAUUCAUACAAAAUUCUAGAAAAGACAAAGGUAUGAUGAUAUAAAGCAGAUAGGUAAUGGCUGGAGUCUUGGGUGGGAGAAGGGAUUGAUAGUAGGAGGGGAACUUUCAGAAGAAAUGGAAAUGUACUGUAUUGUUUACAGUUGUGAUAACAAUAUACACCUUUGUCAAAACUCAAAAAAUGCACUUUUAAAAUGGAAGAUGGAAAAAUAAUGGAAUAUUUGUACCAUUACAAAGAUGCAAACUAAUGAUAUAUGUAAAAAUGUGGACAAAUCAUGCAGACAUGCUGUGAAAAAAGCCAGGUACACAAGAAUAAUACUAUGUUAUUUGGCUAAUUUGAAGUUCUAAAACAGGAAAAAAUUAUCUACAGUGAAAAAAGUGGAGAUGUGUUGCAUCUGAAGGAGGGCUAGGAACUGCAAAAUGCUUUAGGUCACUCUCUGGGUGGUGGGAAUAUAGUUUGAGUUUUGAGAGGCGUGAGUUACACAUGUUUAUGUAUUUGCCAAGGCUCAUUGAACUACACACUUAAGAGCUGUAAUUUCACUGUGUGCAAAUUAAACCUCAAUAAAAU